rnacentral:rRNA from 1 species
GAUGAACGCUGGCGGCGUGCCUAAUACAUGCAAGUCGAGCGAACAGACGAGGAGCUUGCUCCUUUGACGUUAGCGGCGGACGGGUGAGUAACACGUAGGUAACCUACCUAUAAGACUGGGAUAACUUCGGGAAACCGGAGCUAAUACCGGAUAAUAUUUCGAACCGCAUGGUUCGAUAGUGAAAGAUGGCUUUGCUAUCACUUAUAGAUGGACCUGCGCCGUAUUAGCUAGUUGGUAAGGUAACGGCUUACCAAGGCAACGAUACGUAGCCGACCUGAGAGGGUGAUCGGCCACACUGGAACUGAGACACGGUCCAGACUCCUACGGGAGGCAGCAGUAGGGUACCUUCCGCAAUGGGCGAAAGCCUGACGGAGCAACGCCGCGUGAGUGAUGAAGGUCUUCGGAUCGUAAAACUCUGUUAUUAGGGAAGAACAAACGUGUAAGUAACUGUGCACGUCUUGACGGUACCUAAUCAGAAAGCCACGGCUAACUACGUG